CCAUUGUACCCCUCUCAAUCCCUGAGACCCUAACUUGUGACGUUUUGCUGUUAUGUCCACGGGUUAGGCUCUUGGGAGCUGCGAGCGGUGCUCAGACGUC
rnacentral:miRNA from 1 species